AUACCGGGCCUUUUUGGGCUUGGUAAUUGGAAUGAGGGAGAGUUAAACGGACCAUCGAGUAUCCAUUGGAGGGCAAGUCUGGUGCCAGCAGCUGCGGUAAUACCAGCUCCAAUAGCGUAUAUUAAAGUUGUUGCAGUUAAAAAGCUCGUAGUUGGACUUGUGUGCGCUGUCCGCGGGUGGCCUGCGCCCAAAAGGGCGUUUCGGUUCGGCCCCGGUGGCGCCUUGAAAUCUGCAGCUGGGGGGACGUUGGCCUUAACUGGUCGGCGACCGCACGCCGGCUGCUCGGUUACUGUGAGAAAAUUAGAGUGUUCAAGGCAGGCAUUGGGUGCAAUUGAAUACAUUAGCAUGGAAUAAUAAAAUAUGGCUCCUGCCGUAUUUUGUUGGUUUUGACUGGUGGGAGUAGUGAUUGAUAGGGACGGUUGGGGGUGCUAGUAUUGAGCGGCCAGAGGUGAAAUUCAUGGAUUCGCUCAAGACUAACUUAUGCGAAAGCAUUCACCAAGGACGUCCUCUUUAAUCAAGAACGAAAGUUGGGGGAUCGAAGACGAUCAGAUACUGUCGUAGUCUCAACCAUAAACUAUGUCGACUUGGGAUCGGCGGUAGUUUUUUCAUUAAGACACUGUCGGGACCACGGGAGAAAUCAAAGUGUCUGGACUCUGGGGGAAGUAUGGUCGCAAGGCUGAAACUUGAAGGAAUUGACGGAAGGGCACCACCAGGAGUGGAGCCUGCGGCUUAAUUUGACCCAACACGGGGAAACUUACCAGGUCCAGAGAUGUAGAGGAUUGACAGAUUGAAGCUCUUUCUUGAUCACUUCGGUGGUGGUGCAUGGCCGUUCUUAGUUGGUGGAGUGAUUUGUCUGGUUAAUUCCGUUAACGAACGAGACCUCAGCCUGCUAGUGUAGUCGGCUGGAUUACCUUUGGCGAUCCGUGAUUUCGACUUCUUAGAGGGACAAUCGACGCGCAGUCGAUGGAAGUUUGAGGCAAUAACAGGUCUGUGAUGCCCUUAGAUGUUCUGGGCCGCACGCGCGCUACACUGCUGGGCUCAGCGAGUUUUACUUGGCCGAGAGGCCCGGUUAAUCUUGUGAAAUCCCAGCGUGCUUGGGCUCGCCUCCUGCAACUGGAGGCGCCAACGAGGAAUUCCUAGUAGACGCAGGUCAUCAACCUGCAUCGAUUACGUCCCUGCCCUUUGUACACACCGCCCGUCGUUCCAUAAGAGUGAGGCAUCCGGUGAAUUCUCGGGAGAGCCUGGGCGUGGCCAGCAAUGGUCUGCUCGGGUUUGAACUUGCAUAAACUUGGUGCCUAUGAUUAGGG
rnacentral:rRNA from 1 species